rnacentral:rRNA from 1 species
GAUGAACGCUGACAGAAUGCUUAACACAUGCAAGUCAACUUGAACUUCGGUUUGGGUGGCGGACGGGUGAGUAACGCGUAAAGAACUUGCCUCACAGAUAGGGACAACAUUUGGAAACGAAUGCUAAUACCUGAUAUUAUGAUUUUAGGGCAUCCUAGGAUUAUGAAAGCUAUAUGCGCUGUGAGAGAGCUUUGCGUCCCAUUAGCUAGUUGGAGAGGUAACGGCUCGCCAAGGCGAUGAUGGGUAGCCGGCCUGAGAGGGUGAUCGGCCACAAGGGGACUGAGACACGGCCCUUACUCCUACGGGAGGCAGCAGUGGGGAAUAUUGGACAAUGGACCAAGAGUCUGAUCCAGCAAUUCUGUGUGCACGAUGAAGUUUUUCGGAAUGUAAAGUGCUUUCAGUUGGGAAGAAAAAAAUGACGGUACCAACAGAAGAAGUGACGGCUAAAUACGUGCCAGCAGCCGCGGUAAUACGUAUGUCACAAGCGUUAUCCGGAUUUAUUGGGCGUAAAGCGCGUCUAGGUGGUUAUAUAAGUCUGAUGUGAAAAUGCAGGGCUCAACUCUGUAUUGCGUUGGAAACUGUGUAACUAGAGUACUGGAGAGGUAAGCGGAACUACAAGUGUAGAGGUGAAAUUCGUAGAUAUUUGUAGGAAUGCCGAUGGGGAAGCCAGCUUACUGGACAGAUACUGACGCUGAAGCGCGAAAGCGUGGGUAGCAAACAGG